GAAGGCUAGAAAUGCCACCCCAUUUCUUCUCACACUCACACACCAAAAGGGGGAGGGACGGAAGCCACACACUCCAAGCUGAGAGUCUCGAGCUAUUCUGGACCUGCUCUGAGCCCUGCCCUGCCUUUAGGGAACCCACCUGGAUGACUUGGAACUAAGGAAGAAGCUGGACCUGCCGCGAUCUUUUUGAAUCCAGACUCUGUCAUCCUGUGAGUGUCAACUAUUCCUUCAAGCUUUGUAUCAUCUGGAAAUGCGAGAAGCUAUGUGAUGGCAAGGCACUGAAUGUCUGAAGUUCUGGGUGCUGAGGAAAGAGCCAUGAUCCUGAGGAAGUGAACUAUCCCUGAGGGGUGGUGGUGU